rnacentral:lncRNA from 1 species
CGAUUUUUUAAUUUUUCAUAAUUACAUCACAUAUAGAAAAUAGAAUUGUGUAUUAUAUAUGAAGGCAAGUUUCCACGCUUUAGGGGAAAAAUUUGGGGGAUGACCGUGGUUCAACCACUUUCCAAAACAAUCCUUAUACGCCACGGGUCGUCUGUGGGUUUGUCACCACGAACCCGCAGUUGACCAAGAAAAAAAUAUUUUUUCUUUAAAAAAAAAAAAAAAUUUGGCAAGAGCAGCGUCUUCUCCUCCCCUUUUUGCACUCUCCAACCAAAAUUUCUCUACAAAUUAAAUAAUACUUCGAAGAAUCAAAAGCCUGCAUGAAGAGGAAGCAUUAAGUAGGAACCCAACAUCAUAUAUCUUCGCAUUAUUCUUUCAAAAUGAGAAUCAAGGUAUGAAAUUUUAAACCCUAUAAUUUUUGCAUUUUGGGGAUUUUUCAAUUCUCGAACUUAGCAUGAAUUUUGUGAAGAAAAAUGUGGAGAAUAUAACUACAUUGAUUGAUGGGAGUUGGAAGAUGUCUUUUGUUUGCCAAAAAUUACGAAACAACAAAUAAUCCUUACAUUUUUUUUCCUUCGAACCCUGUCAUAGUUGAAACUCGAUUUUGGUCCCCCCACCGUAACUGUAGCUUAGAAAAUGAUGAUUCCCAACUGAAAUUCGUUGAAAUAGUAACCAGUAAAAAAUAGAAAAUAGAAUAGGGAAGGGGAAAACAAGAAAAUAAGAAGAAUGAAGGUGAGAAAAGCUGUUGAUUCAAUUAACAAUUUCACUAAAAUUUUGCAGAAAACAUUACAUAGACCCCGACUUCCUCCCCCAUGGUUGUAUAUAUACAAGUAACUAAAUAUAAAGUCCCGCUUUCCAAACCCAGAAGUAGCAGACGUUUUUUAACAAAUAACAACAAUUUAUUUCAAGUAAAACGACUCCAUAUGGACUUAAUAAAAAAUGACGUCGCAGGCACUUUCAAUUCUAGUUACCGCCAUUGGUUUUUUCUCCUCUAUUUUUCAUCCUCUGUUUUGCUUNNNNGAAACUAGGCCUUAAUCCAAUCAGCAUCUUUCCAUGUCACAUUUUUUGGUGGUAGUAGAUCUGACCAAUGAAUGAGCUAUUGUUCUGCUAUUCAAUUUAUACGUUUCACUAUUUUGUAUUGUAGGAUUGCAAGGAGAUAAUGACCUACCUGUAGUGGCUGCUUUUCUUCAAGGAGUCGUAGGACUGGCAUUAUGUUGUCACCAAGUUUUUUUUUCAAUAGUGAAAUAAGGAAGACUUGUUGAAUUUUGAAGCCUCUAGGUUGUGCCAUUUGCUAAGCCACUGUCCCUACUUUCCUAGUAAUCUAUGAAAGGUUUUCCUUUAACUGAUGGUUUAAUUUGUAUCUCCACAUCUCCACAACUAGUCUCUUUAUGUUUGUAUUCUGGAUAAAAGGAUGCCUAUAAAGUUCGAUUUUGAAUGGUUGUUCACCCUCUUUCAAUGGGAUAUGGUGGUCCUGUGACCUAGGAGGAGGUAACCAUGCUGGCUCUUCAAACACCUUUGGAAAUCUUUUGAUGACCUCCAACACUUGGUUGAGCAUAUUCCCACCCUUUUCAUCCUUGAUAUGACAUAGUUGUCCCACUAUCCCAUAAGAGUCCUUUCUAAAUAUUCUUCCCAUCUCCUUAAUCCCCAUCAUCUUGGCAGGACAUUUAGACAUCCCACUCUUCAAUUCUAUCAUUUCACCAUUACUCCUCAACUGAAU